rnacentral:rRNA from 1 species
GCAAGUCGAACGGCAGCAGCGGAGAGCUUGCUCUCUGGCUGGCGAGUGGCGGACGGGUGAGUAAUACGUGGGAAUCUGCCUGGCAGUGGGGGAUAACCCGAGGAAACUCGGGCUAAUACCGCAUACGUCCCGAGGGGGAAAGCGGGCUUUCGAGUUCGCGCUGUCAGAUGAGCCCACGUCCGAUUAGCUUGUUGGUGGGGUAACGGCCUACCAAGGUGACGAUCGGUAGCUGGUCUGAGAGGAUGAUC